UACUCCUACGGGAGGCAGCAGUGGGGAAUAUUGGACAAUGGGCGCAAGCCUGAUCCAGCCAUGCCGCGUGAGUGAUGAAGGCCUUAGGGUUGUAAAGCUCUUUUAGCAGGGAAGAUAAUGACGGUACCUGCAGAAAAAGCCCCGGCUAACUUCGUGCCAGCAGCCGCGGUAAUACGAAGGGGGCUAGCGUUGCUCGGAAUUACUGGGCGUAAAGCGCACGUAGGCGGCUUCUUAAGUCGGUGGUGAAAUCCUGGAGCUCAACUCCAGAACUGCCUUCGAUACUGGGAAGCUCGAGUUCGGGAGAGGUGAGUGGAACUGCGAGUGUAGAGGUGAAAUUCGUAGAUAUUCGCAAGAACACCAGUGGCGAAGGCGGCUCACUGGCCCGAUACUGACGCUGAGGUGCGAAAGCSUKGGGRRSMAAMMRGRWUWAGAUACCCUGGUAGUCCACGCUGUAAACGAUGGAUGCUAGCCGUUGGCGAGCUUGCUCGUCAGUGGCGCAGCUAACGCUUUAAGCWUCCCGCCUGGGGAGUACGGUCGCWAGAUUAAAACUCAAAUGAAUUGACGG
rnacentral:rRNA from 1 species